rnacentral:ncRNA from 1 species
CCGACCUCUCCACCUUCCGAGGCGGCCAUAGCAUAUUAAAGGAGGAAACGAUCAAGCCCCAGGCUCGGGGUGCGGCAGUGUGGAGACCUGUCGUAAAUGCGGCGCGCCAAACGGCGGCCGUGAGUUCGUCUAUGGCGGAGGCCGGACGGGCGGAGCCGGAAGUAUGGCA